CGGGAAGACGCUCAGCUUGGUAGAGCACUUGGUUUGGGACCAAGGGGUCGCAGGUUCGAAUCCUGUCUUCCCGA
rnacentral:tRNA from 1 species